rnacentral:misc_RNA from 1 species
GACAAUUGAGAUUUGAGAGAAAUAAGAUAGAACAGCAAAACAACAAAGCAAGUGUCAAUUUGUUUGGUAACGGCAACGCAUAGUAAUUGUAAAUGGGAUUAAGAGUCAAGUUCUGGAACCACAUCUCUCUUUUUAUACCUAAACAACUGCUUCUUUCAUCCCAUUCUCUUCCCAAAUCAUCAAUUUCUGUUCACAGUUUACCAACCCACGCAAAACCACUCGUUAGAGCGCUUGGCACAGCAUCACCAGCCAAAAUGGUCAAAUCUAUUAGGGUUCAUGAGCUUGAUGGACCUGAGGUCUGUUUCUCUGUCACUUUCUUCAAUCCAUAACAUUUCAUGUUAAAUUUGAUUGGGUUUGAUAGGCACUCCCAAAUCAUAUUUCAGUUAUGCUGGCGUACAAUGUAUCGGCUUACAACAUUUUCACUUAUGUGUAUUCUAGAAUUUAAUUUUCUUGAUUUGGUUUUGGUUUCACCUCAACAAAUUUCAUAUCUGGGUUUUGUCUGCAUAUAACUAUUUUAGAACUUUCAUUUAGAAGAACAGCGGCUGUUCUUCUUGUUCUUAAGUCAGUCUUUUUCAGUUAUUUGUAUACAUGAUGACACUAGGUCCUCAAGUGGGAGGAUGUUGAGAUAGGAGAGCCAGGUGAGGGCUAGAUGCGUGUGAAAAACAAAGCCACUGGGCUUAACUUCUUUGAUGUGUACUUCAGAAAAGGAGUUUAUAAUAAGGCUCCUUCAAUGCCCUUCACUCCAGGUUUUGCUCUCUCUGUUCACCGCAUAAAUUUGCCAUUCAACACCUACAUAUAUAUUUCUGCCGGGAAUGGAUUCUACUUAUCAUUAUUUAUUUAUUUAUAUUUUUAUAAGAGAACAUAUUAUCAGUAAUAAAGGCUCCAAACGGAGAUUUCACUCUGUGCUCUUGGUCUUGGAGUGUGCUUACAGUUACAGUUUGCUUAGGUCCUGACUGCCUGGGUUUAUUGAAUGCCAAAUGAAUUUAUUAUUGUUUUUUCAAUGGAUUUUGUUCGCCUUAAAAAUGAAAACAAGGCAUGAAUUUUUGUGUACUCUUAGUUAUGGCUAUCUUAGAGUUCAUUUAUAAAUGAAAUCACAUGAUAAGAUGAACUUUAUCUUCUUGUGCGGUUGUUCUUAUGGGGUAUUUAGUUGCAUGGGAAAUAACUUUUCUUGAAAAGCCAUUAAUACAACAGUCAUCUCUGAAGCAACCAGCUGGGAAAGGCAGCAGCAAUAUGUAGAAGAAGGGAACGAUGCCUUUGUGGUAGUAGGUUUGGUGUCCGUAAUUCUGCUUGAAUUUGGAUAUAGCAUAAAGAAAAGAACACAUUUUUAUGCAGUGUGGUCUUUGUUUGAACUAAUUGAAAAUAAUGUGUUAGUUUUUGAAUGACACAUUUGUUCAAUCAACAUGAAUUUGGAUUAGGGGUGGGGGGCAAGAGGGUUCUUGACUGUUAAAGUGGACUCAAAUCCUGCUUCCUUAGAGAGGUAACCAACUACAAAUAACUGAAGCUUUUAUAGAAAAUUUCCUCUGAAAUAGUUUGUACCUGUUCUUGACUUGGGGAAUGAUGAAAAUAUUAUCACACAUUUUGCUAGUGAUGCUUGAAUGUGAUCUUAAUUGGAGAUAAAUAUCAUAUGGGAUUUGUUAAUGGUUGCUAUCAUAAACGCUUAAAGUCAACUUGGCAUAGAAGUUAAUUACUGUAACUUGUGUGAUUGAUAUACUGUUGAUUUUUAUUGGAAUAUAGACUUCUGGAAUUCUACCUCUCUGAAUUUUAGAUGUCAUAAAUGAAGAAAAAGAGUUUAUACUCCUUUUAGUGGAUUUUAUUGGAAGGAUGAUAUAGUCCAUACUCCAUAAUGAAUAAUUGAGACAUCAAAAUUUGAAGGAUGAAAGAUAGAUGCAUGGAAUUUAGAAUCUUGACAAAUCAAAUUGUCUUGGUGUUUGCUAGAUCUGUAGACACUGUAAAGGUGCCCAAGUGUUGUGAUCUAUUUUUCUAUUCUACCUGUUGAUGUUGGCUAUAAGCAUUGUAAAGAUAGUCUUGCAUGGAGUCAUUGACAAUAAUUCUCUAAUGUAUCUCUUAUGUAGGUAUGGAGGCUGUUGGAGAAGUGAUAGCUGUGGGCCCUGGACUUACUGGUAGGAACAUUGGAGAUAUUGUAGCCUAUGCUGGCAAUCCUAUGGGCUCAUAUGCUGAAGAGCAGAUCCUUCCUGCAAACAAGGUUGUGCCCGUUCCUUCCUCCAUCAGUCCUGUUAUUGCAGCAUCUGUUAUGCUUAAGGGAAUGACUACUCAGUUCCUAGUCCGCCGUUGCUUCAAGGUAGGUUGUAUAGUAAGUCUUCAUAAUUCAUAUUAUUGUGAUUAUUAGGUCAUGGAAUUAUUUUUAAUUUGAAAUCAGGACAAAUAAUGUCACAAUAAUAAAAUUCCUGAUGUCUUUCCAUCAGGAAAGGUAAAAAUAUACCCAUCGAUGCCCCCAACGUUGCAUAUGAAUGAUGAAUCACAUUUGCAUUAAUGCAUAAGUCUUUUAAUGUAAUGUAACUAAAACAUUACCACUGGAUAUGCAGUUCAUUACCAGUGAAUAUGUUAAUUUCAUAAAUUUGUGCAUACAUGCUUACACCUGUACGACUUACAAUACAAAUUUGUGUUAAUUUCUCCAAACUAUUUCUGGGUUUCAGCUGCAUGGACUUUCUUUUGAUUAGACACUCUCUGAACACACAUCUUGCUAAUAAUUAUUUACAUUAGUUAAUUGUUUGUUCUUUUCUGUAGGAAUGUAUUUCCGAGUUCUUAUUUUAUUAUAGGUUGAACCUGGGCAUACCAUCCUUGUUCAUGCUGCAGCUGGUGGAGUUGGCUCUCUCUUAUGCCAGUGGGCAAAUGCCCUGGGUGCCACUGUCAUUGGAACCGUCUCAUCCAAGGAGAAGGCGGCACAAGCCAAGGAUGAUGGAUGUCACCAUGUAAUAAACUAUAAAGAAGAAGAUUUUGUUCUCCGUGUCAAUGAGAUCACAUCAGGCAGGGGUGUCAAUGUUGUCUAUGAUUCUGUGGGGAAAGACACCUUUCAGGUAAUUUAUACUCUAUUCUCCUGCAAGGUGGUUUUUUGGAAUACAUAACAAUAUUGUUCUGAAUCCACAAUUUGUGAAUUGAUGAUUCAAAGUUAUUUUAUUCUAUAUGCUUUUUAUGUCAUCACAUUUUACCGGCCAUAUGGCAGCACACCUUGAGUAGGUUCAGUUUUCCAUUAUAUCAUGUCAUCAAAUGGUUUAGAUUAUCAACCCAAGGACCAUUGCAGCAGUUAUAGUUACAAAGGUUUCACCUAAUCUUAUAAUUAUUUCUCUCUGCAAGGUCUUAUCUUCCAAAAUCUUGUUUUUUCAUUGGGCUGUUUUAGAAGGUUAUAAAACACCAUAGCUGUACAUUGGUCAAAAUUAACUGUUGGCCCAAGUAGUUAUAAUUACACAGGCACAGAGCCAAGUUGCACUUUGCUUUCUUGAAAUUUUAGUGGUUAAGAGCUCUUAGCAAAUCAUGAUAUUCAGGGAUCACUGGCAUGCCUGAAGACUCGUGGGUACAUGGUGAGUUUUGGGCAGUCAUCAGGUACACCAGAUCCACUUCCAUUGUCAGCGCUUGCGCCAAAAGCACUGUUCUUGACAAGGCCUUCCCUCAUGCUCUACACUGAAACUCGAGAUGAGCUGCUGGAAACUGCUGGAGAGGUAUUUGCCAACAUUGCUUCAGGUGUAUUGCGAGUUCGAGUAAACCAUACAUACCCUUUGUCUGAGGCAGCACAAGCACAUGCGGACCUCGAGAGUCGGAAAACAUCUGGGUCAAUUGUAUUGAUACCAUGAAGCAAAUGUUUAGUUGCCAGCUAUGCUCAACUCUUCAUUGAGGAAUCUACUCUUGGUGAUUUGCACUUUAUUAGUGCCAGGUUGUGUAAGAUAAAUAAUGUGUGUUAUGGCAGUUGGAAAAAGAAAUCAAAACAUGCAAGGAUAAUUUUCAUUAUGUGUAAUAAAAGGUUUUGCAUCAUCAUCAAUCUGUGUUCUCCUUGUGCGUAUCCUGUUUUGGUUCCCAGCUAGGGAUAAGCUGCUUCUCAUGUAUGCAAUUUAAAAUGGACAUACGAGUUCAGAAAAAGGUGAGGCAGUGCUUACUAAGGAUGAUUCAAAACAUUCACCUUUUACAUGAAUAUAAAAAUAAAAUAAAGCUUUUAC